GCAUAUCAAUAAGCGGAGGAAAAGAAACCAACAGGGAUUGCCUCAGUAACGGCGAGUGAAGCGGCAAGAGCUCAAAUUUGAAAGCUGGCCCCCCCGGGGCCCGCGUUGUAAUUUGCAGAGGAUGCUUCGGGAGCGGCCCCCAUCUAAGUGCCCUGGAACGGGCCGUCAUAGAGGGUGAGAAUCCCGUCUGGGAUGGGGUGCCCGCGCCCGUGUGAAGCUCCUUCGACGAGUCGAGUUGUUUGGGAAUGCAGCUCUAAAUGGGUGGUAAAUUUCAUCUAAAGCUAAAUAUUGGCCGGAGACCGAUAGCGCACAAGUAGAGUGAUCGAAAGAUGAAAAGCACUUUGAAAAGAGAGUUAAACAGCACGUGAAAUUGUUGAAAGGGAAGCGCUUGCGACCAGACUCGCCCGCGGGGUUCAGCCGGCACUCGUGCCGGUGUACUUCCCCGCGGGCGGGCCAGCGUCGGUUUGGGCGGCCGGUCAAAGGCCCUCGGAAUGUAACGCCCCCCGGGGCGUCUUAUAGCCGAGGGUGCCAUGCGGCCAGCCCGGACCGAGGAACGCGCUUCGGCUCGGACGCUGGCAUAAUGGUCGUAAGCGACCCGUCUUGAAACACGGACCAAGGAGUCUAACAUCUACGCGAGUGUUCGGGUGUCAAACCCGUACGCGCAGUGAAAGCGAACGGAGGUGGGAACCCCCCCGGGGUGCACCAUCGACCGAUCCUGAAGUCUUCGGAUGGAUUUGAGUAGGAGCGUAGCUGUUGGGACCCGAAAGAUGGUGAACUAUGCCUGAAUAGGGCGAAGCCAGAGGAAACUCUGGUGGAGGCUCGCAGCGGUUCUGACGUGCAAAUCGAUC
rnacentral:rRNA from 1 species